rnacentral:rRNA from 1 species
GACGAACGCUGGCGGCGUGCUUAACACAUGCAAGUCGAGCGGAAAGGCCCUUCGGGGUACUCGAGCGGCGAACGGGUGAGUAACACGUGAGUAACCUGCCCUUGGCUCUGGGAUAAGCCCGGGAAACUGGGUCUAAUACCGGAUACGACCACUGGAUGCAUGCCUGGUGGUGGAAAGUUUUUCGGUCGUGGGGAGUGGACUCGCGGUCUAUCAGCUUGUUGGUGGGGUGGAUGGCCUACCAAGGCGACGACGGAUAGCCGGCCUGAGAGGGUGGACCGGCCACACUGGGACGUGAGACACGGCCCACGACUCCUACGGGAGGGCAGCAGUGGGGAAUAUUGCGCAAUGGGCGGAAAGCCUGACGCAGCAACGCCGCGUGGGGAGUGAAGGCUUUCGGUUG